CUUGAAGGCAGCUACACUCGUCAGUUGUCGCUAACAGCUUACUAAAUGUCAGAAAGAGAUGGAAAUGUUCUAAAUUAGGACACCACUCUUAAUCCCUUACAAGAUAAAUUAGAAUGCAUACAUUUUUAUAGAAAAAAAUACUUCAAGAAGAUAACAUAAGUAUAUAACAUUCAAAAUCUACGCCUCCCUUGGUAGAAAUAGUUGAAAGAUCACACUCAAAAAAAUAGCUAAGGUGCCAUGUUGAAAGCAGCUGAAAUGUGAUUGCUGGUACGUGAAAUCAUUUCAGUAAGGGAUUUAUUUGAGGACUAGGGAGUGAGGAAUUAUAGACAUAAUGCACAAGUCAACAUUGUUAGAGUCAACUCAUCAUCUAUGCUAACAAUAAUGUACAGCAGGAAAGAUAAUCCAAAAAUCUUUUACAUUGCUUUUGUAUUAUAACAUUAUUUGCAGUAGAUUUAUUUUCUCAGUUUUAUUUCAGAUUUGUUUGCUUUUCUGUGUAUUCAUUACCUGAUAGAUGGGAAAAAAAGAUACCCAGUAGCAUCCUCAAGGGCACAGGGAAGCCAGGGAGAUAAAAUUUCACCAGAGAUAAUCUACAAAAUAAAUUGUGUCUGCAAGUGAGUGGGAGGCAUUUGGAGUGAAGCCAGUCACAAUACUUGAUGGCUCUGCAGUCUUAUCAGUCGCCCUACAGGUGGCCUGGGGAUAAAGCAUGCUUGCAAGAACACCUACUCACUACUGUUGCUCCCCUGUUCCCCAGGCCCACUCCCACCACCCCAGAGAAGUUGAGGUUAGAGCAUUGUGGAUGACAGGCCUCAAAAAAGGAGCAUCCUUUCUGUGGUCCAGAGACAGAAAUCCUGGAUUAUGGAUCUACCGUGUUAGUGACAGUGACAAAAAAACAGUGGGAAGACAUGAGAAGAAAGACAAUGAGCUUGAAAGAGGAAUAAAAAAAUAAUUGUCACUGUGGCUGCCAGAUGUCUAUUGUAAAAGAUUGUCAAGUGAGCCUGCUUAGAUCAAUGUAAGCCCCACCUGACUUCACCUGUCAAAGCCAUCUCUGGAGCUGAAUUAAGAAAGUCAUUAAAAA
rnacentral:lncRNA from 1 species